rnacentral:rRNA from 1 species
AUUACUGGGGCGUAAGCGCGCGUAGGUGGCUUGAUAAGCCGGUUGUGAAAGCCCCGGGCUCAACCUGGGAACGGCAUCCGGAACUGUCAGGCUAGAGUGCAGGAGAGGAAGGUAGAAUUCCCGGUGUAGCGGUGAAAUGCGUAGAGAUCGGGAGGAAUACCAGUGGCGAAGGCGGCCUUCUGGACUGACACUGACCCUGAGGUGCGAAAGCCGUGGGGUAGCAAACAGGAUUAAAAUACCCUGGGUAGUCCCACGCCCGUAAACGAAGUCGAACUAGCCGGUGGGUUCCUUGGAGAACUUUGGGGGCCAAUUAACCCCAUAAAUUCCACCCGCCGGGGGAGUACCGCCCCCAGGGUAAAAAUCAAAAUAAAUUGGGGGGGGGCCCCCAAAACCGGGGGAACAGGGGGUUU